ACGGUAACAGGUCUUCGGAUGCUGACGAGUGGCGAACGGGUGAGUAAUACAUCGGAACGUGCCCGAUCGUGGGGGAUAACGAAGCGAAAGCUUUGCUAAUACCGCAUACGAUCUACGGAUGAAAGCAGGGGACCGCAAGGCCUUGCGCGAACGGAGCGGCCGAUGGCAGAUUAGGUAGUUGGUGGGAUAAAAGCUUACCAAGCCGACGAUCUGUAGCUGGUCUGAGAGGACGACCAGCCACACUGGGACUGAGACACGGCCCAGACUCCUACGGGAGGCAGCAGUGGGGAAUUUUGGACAAUGGGCGAAAGCCUGAUCCAGCCAUGCCGCGUGCAGGAUGAAGGCCUUCGGGUUGUAAACUGCUUUUGUACGGAACGAAAAGACUCUGGUUAAUACCUGGGGUCCAUGACGGUACCGUAAGAAUAAGCACCGGCUAACUACGUGCCAGCAGCCGCGGUAAUACGUAGGGUGCAAGCGUUAAUCGGAAUUACUGGGCGUAAAGCGUGCGCAGGCGGUUAUAUAAGACAGAUGUGAAAUCCCCGGGCUCAACCUGGGAACUGCAUUUGUGACUGUAUAGCUAGAGUACGGCAGAGGGGGAUGGAAUUCCGCGUGUAGCAGUGAAAUGCGUAGAUAUGCGGAGGAACACCGAUGGCGAAGGCAAUCCCCUGGGCCUGUACUGACGCUCAUGC
rnacentral:rRNA from 1 species